UAUUUAGUGCAUGGAAUAAUGGAAUAUGAUCUCGGUUCUAUUUUGUUGGUUUUCAGAACUCCGAGGUAAUGAUCAAUAGGGACAACUGGGGGCAUUCGUAUUGCGACGUUAGAGGUGAAAUUCUUGGAUCGUCGCAAGACGAACAUCAGCGAAAGCAUUUGCCAAAGGUGUUUUCAUCAAUCAAGAACGAAAGUUAGAGGUUCGAAGGCGAUUAGAUACCGCCCUAGUUCUAACCGUAAAUAUGUCGUCUAGCGAUCCGCCGACGUUACUACAAUGGCUCGGCGGGCAGCUUCCGGGAAACC
rnacentral:rRNA from 1 species